rnacentral:tRNA from 1 species
GGGUUCUUAGCUCAGUUGGUAGAGCAUCGGUCUCCAAAACCGAGGGUCGCAGGUUCAAGUCCUGCAGGGCCCG